UGCCAGAGAGAGGGGAGAACACAGGCCCCUUCUCCCCUAGCUACACCCCUGCCCUCCCCUAUGGCAUUUAUUCAUUAUUUAUUUUUAUCUUUAUGUUUCUCCAAGAGUACAGGUCAGUCCCCACUACAAUCCUGUAAGACCAGAGAGGAUGCUGAGGGACUUCCAGCAGCCGUGACAGAGACCUUGACUUGGACACCAGAUGGACUAGCAAUAUAAAUAUUAAUAUACCUACACCUGCAUACAUUCCUGGAAACCACCGAAUCAGAUACUCAGGCAGAAUUUGUUGCUUCCUGUGAAGAGAUGCACAGUAUGCCUUUUUGUAACGGACGGAACAUUCCAUCGACUUCAGACACAUAUUUAAACAUUAUGGGCACAUGUAUUUGCAAUCCAUAGUUGAGGUGGAGCUUUUGCCUUAAAGUAAUAGGCCUUUUCCUACCCUAACCCCCCCAAUGAAUGCUUAGAACCUUUUAGAGGAUAGGAAUGUGGCAACACUGCCACUGUGAGUCCAAAACAGACGGGUGCUGUAGAACUAGAAGCCUCUGCAGCUGAUGGUUUGUCUUUCACCAUAAAAGGACAGUUGUGGCUUAUUUGGCACAGGACAAGGUUUUAUAGUCAAGGAGCCCAGGCAUGGGGGAGAGGUUGUGCCACACAGCGUGACUCCAAAAACGUGAUCAAUGAUGUUGUGGCUAUCCAGCAGGUGGGGCUUCAUGGUUAUGGAAUAGGGAUGUGCCCGAAUAGG